rnacentral:rRNA from 1 species
UACAGAGGGGGCAAGCGUUAUUCGGAAUUAUUGGGCGUAAAGGGCGCGUAGGCGGCCUGGCAAGUGGAAGGUGAAAUCCCUCGGCUUAACCGAGGAAUUGCGCUCCAAACCGCUUGGCUGGAGUGAGGCAGAGGUGAGCAGAACUAAUGGUGGAGCGGUGAAAUGCGUUGAUAUCGUAAGGAAGACCAGUGGCGAAGGCGGGUCUCUGGACAGUUCCUGACGCUGAGGCACGAAGGCCAGGGGAGCAAACGGG